rnacentral:lncRNA from 1 species
UCCCAACGACACCAUGAAGCUUCACCACAAUGGACUAUGGCUUCGCGGUGACCUCAACCGUCUAGGAUGCUCAAACACCCAAGAGUAACAAGAUCCGCAAGGGAUUAGUAGGGGGAAUCAAAUAUCUCUCGGUGGAAGUGUAGAUCGGGGCCUUCUCAACCACUCCCGAGCAAAUCAACAAGUUUGGUUGGCCAGGGAGUGAGAUCGGGCGAAAAUGGAGCUUGGAGCAAUAAUGGAGCUUUAAUGGUGGAAGAGGUAAGUCAACGGGGAAGAAGGAGACCAUUUAUAUAGUGUGUGGAAAAGAUCCAACCGUUACCCACCUACCAGCCCGCGGCCAGCGGUACUACCGCGCAUGGCCAGCGGUACUACCGCAAGGCCGCGCGGUAGUACGGCUUGCAACCAAGCGGUACUACCGCACGGUAGUGCGGUACUAUAGUACCACCCUAUGGUACUGCCGCGACCCCCAGCCAGGGAAACAGACGCAAGCUGGGGCGGUACUUCCGCUCGCGCGGUACUACCGCGCCAUUAGGGCGGUACUACCAUGAGGCAAAAAGUCCCGAUAGGGGGAGGGGAACUUCCGUGCAUACUUCCGCAAAAGAACGGAAGUAGCAAAAACUCGACACAGUAGUACUGCCGAGGGGUGGUACUACUGCCUGACUGCCUAGUGCGGUACUACCGCAUGGCGAAAGCGGUACUACCGCGGCAGGUGCGGAUGUAAAAAAUUACAUCCGCUCCUACUACCGCAACCGGGCGGCACUAGCCGGGUGGGGCAGCGGUAGUAAGGCUCCGGGGGAGCGGUACUACCGUGAGCACCAGCGGUACUACCGUGCCACUGCGCGGUACUACCGUGGAUGCCCACGGUACUACCGUUAAUCCUGGAGCGGUACUACCGCAACCACACAAGCAGCCAGUCAACUAUGGCAGGAAAACGGAGGAAGCUCCAAGGAAGAAGGAGGGGAUAAAAGGAGACAUGUACGUGAUGAUUCCACCCAAACCUUUCCAACGCGGACCCCCUCUUAAUAGUACGGCUUUCCUACGACUCAAAUCCACUAAAAAGAAACGUAGAAAAGACGCCGUCUUCGUCAGUCUUCGAGGGGCACCCAAUCGUCUUGUGCCUAGCAGAGAAGAGUCUGGAAAGCUCAUGGCACACGAUUAGUCCGCAAAUGCAUUGUCAUCAAUCACCAAAACACUUAGGGAUAAAUAUGACCUUACAAUCUCCCCCUUUUUGGUGGAUUGAUGACAAUACGGGAUUUGCACAAAGAAAAUAAUAUUAAGUAAAUGCAAACCCCUCCUCUCUAUAAUAUAGACGGGCUCCCCCUGGAUGUGUGCUACCUAGAUGAGUGCUUUGAACUGCACGGCACACGAAUACUAGGAUCAAAGCUCCCCCUAUAUUAUAGAGACAAGGCAUAUCUAUCAUUAGACAAGAUAUACCAUACAUAAGUUAACUACGAUAGAUAAAGUGCAUAUGUCUUACACCAUAUGGAGGAGAGGUCUCGGAAGCACAAACCGAACUAAAGCAAACAAGGUCCAAACGACAAAGCAAACAAAGCAAACAAACACACUAAGCAAACAAACACACCAAACACAACGCAAAUCCCUACAAUCUCUCCCCCUUUGGCAUCGAGACGCCAAAAAGGCAGAGAGGACACCUACAGACACGGGGUGGCUCAGGCAGAGAAGUCGUCCCACUGCUCCUCGUCAGACUCAGCGGCAGGGAUAGUCUCCUCCAUGUCAUCCUCUAAACUGGUCCACUUGUAGCCCUGCUUAGACAUCCAGGCAGCCGCAGGAGUGAUGACGUCCUCAGACCCGCCAGACACAUCCUCUCCAUAGAGCCUCAUCACCUUCUUGUCACGACGGCGACUCUCCUUGUCAGACACGUGAGCCCUGUACUGUCCCUUCGCCUGCAUGCAGACGAGAGUCUUCAUCUUGUUCUUCAGCUUCUUGGCCCAUGAUGGCUCAGAGGAAGAAGUGGUGGACCUGACAGCACGGUCCUCAGCAGCACGGUCCUCAGCACGGUCCUCAGUAGCCUCCCCCUGACCAGCAGCCCUCCUAGCAGAAGAUGCCUCAGCACGAGUAGUGGUGUUGGCCCAGUUGGGCUUGACGCGGAGGAUGAUGGACUCAUGGCGAAUCCAGUCUGGGGCAAGGAACUCAUCACCUGGAUACGUCUUCUCCCAAGUGGAGGAGAGAAGCAGAAACAGGUACGGUCCAUAGAUAGGUACCUUGCGAGUGAACACCGCAAACUGAAGCUCACACCACAUGAUGUGAGAGACAUCAAGCGGCUGAGUCUGAGAAGAACGUGCCUCUGCACACAAGAGCAAUAUGUCCACUAGAUAUGCAUGAACCUUGUCCUUGUCGCCAAUGCGUGGGAACAGAGUGUUGCAGAAGAUGCGAUGCAUGAUAUCCAGAAAGGAGUUCAACACCCAAGAUGACUUCCCAUUGGGGAGUACCUUCUCAACAAGGAAGGGCCGAAGCUGGUUCUUGUUGGCAGACUCAGAGUUGGCAUGGGGGCGGACGCCAACGGGGGUGUGAAGCCCGUCAUCAGGAAUGUGCAGCAGAUCCAUGAACUCUUUCCAUGCAGCAGACAGCUGACGCCCAUUGGUCAUCCAAGUCAUCCUCCGCUCCACCCCGGGAUGAAAGUACACUGAGGCAAAGAACUGACAGAUAAGCUCAGGGUCAUAGUCAAGGUGAAAGGAGAUCACCGGCUCAAUAGCAAACUGCUCCACCAAGUCCAGAGCCUCUCCAAAAUAGUCACGAAACUUGUCUUUCCACAGGUGAUGCAUGUCUAUCCACUUAACAUCCACGUAGGUAUUCUGCUUGUUCUUGAUCACAUCCAGAUAGAUGAGAGCCUGUUGAUUGGUCCAUAACAACUCGGUGCCUCUGAGGAUAGCCCGAGGAUUCACAUAGGGAUUGAUCUUUCGGCGCUCGACAUACUCAGUGGUUGAAAUCUCGUCCAUGCCCUUAGUCGGUUCCUUGUGCUUGCUGGCAGUGGUCUUGACAUUGCGCUUGGGGGCAUUGGAGCCCUCUGGAGCUUCAUCUUGGGGGUUGCGCAGACGCUUGGAGCCAGUGUCACGACUGGGAUUGGAACGGCGAGAGCCACCACCUGAGACACAGAACGCAAAAACACCCACAACGGCCAAGAGAGAUUAAUGCAAAGACCACAACAAAGCAAGUGAAACAAGUAGAAGGCACACAUGAUACAUGCCUAGAGAGAGAUUUGAUCCCUACGGUAGUACUGCCAAGAGCUGCGGAGCUAAGAGAGUAGUACGGCUCUUAGACGCGGUAGUACCAUGCAAGAUCACGGUAGUACCGGGUGUAGGAGCGGUAGUACGACCUUAGCACCGCGGCCGGCGCGGUAGUACCGCGUCUGCGGAGCGGUAGUACUGCACCGUAUGGUAGUACCGCACCUGACGGGCGGUAGUACCGCAAGAGAGGUAGUACCGCACAUCAGGCACGGUAGUACCGCACCGCGUCAGAUCUGAACUGGUUCAAAUCUGAGAAAACCCGCGAAAACACGGCAGUACUAUGGUUGGACAAAACUACCACAAGACAGCAUAUCAAGUAUGUUUCCUACGCAUCACGACUCUCCUACAUCCUACUCUUGCAUGGAUUUGGCCUAAAAUCUCAAGAACAACAAGUUUCUCCCCAAAAGCCUAGAAGCAAGAAAACAGCCAAGAAAGAGAGGGAUUUGGGGAAAAACCUUGGUCCAUGGCAAGAGGAAGUGGUGGGGAACGAUCCCACCGGUCGGAAUCCGAGGAGAGUGGCCAGAGACGGUGAUCCAGCGAGGGCCUCCGGUGCCGUUCUUGAGAGGGAGAGACGUGGAGAGAGAGACAAUGAAUGGGUAUGGGGAGUUGGAACUCCCCUGCCCGAGUCAUAACCCCCACGCGCCCUUGACGGCGUGGUAGUACCAUGCCCAGACACGGUAGUACCGCGUGGUGCGGUAGUACCGUUCCUCCCAAGCGGUAGUACCGCGCCCAGACGUGGUAGUACCGUGGGCUCAAGAAUAUGCAUGUUUCGAGCCUGAAAAACUGGAUCUUUGCACAAAAUAACUUCGGGCCAACACAACACCACAAGACCAUGCAACACACAAAACCAGAAAGGCACACGACAAACGAACCAACCACGAGACACCACCUCUCCAAAAGAGAGGGCGGUGGCCGUAGCCACCUAUGUUUGAGUCAAUUGGUAUGGCACCGCGAAGAAUUAUCCUUGGGUCCAUGACCAAAACUCGUCUUUGAAGCACAAGUACCAUAAAAAAUGGCUAAUGUGAAAGACUUGAUUGAUUUAUGCAUAAUGGGGGGAGGGAGAGUUCAUUGAGAGAACAUCACUCCCCCUAUGUCCAUGCCUACAUCUAAAUAGGACAACACGUUGAGUAUGGUGGGGUGUGCAAGGGUUCAUGCAACAUUGCUCGAAUCGAUGAUAUUUAGCUCAUGCCUUAACUCGCGAAAUCUUGCUUCAUCCAAGGGCUUUGUGAAGAUAUCUGCAAGGUUAUCAUGAGUGUUGACGUAGUUGAGCUCGAUCUCUCCUCGCCUAAUGUGAUCCCGGAUGAAGUGAUACCAGAUCUCAAUAUGCUUCGUCUUGAAGUGUUGCACCGGGUUGAGAGAGAUCUUGAUGGCACUUUCAUUGUCACACCAAAGAGGCACUUUGUCACAAGUGACACCAUAAUCCUUUAAAGUUUGCCUCAUCCAUAAGAGUUGUGCACAACAACUACCGGCCGCAACAUACUCCGCUUCGGUGGACGAGAGAGACACACAACUUUGCUUUUUGGAAGACCAACUUACCAAAGAGCAACCAAGGAAUUGGCACCCUCCGGAAGUGGACUUCCUAUCCACUUUGUCUCCCGCCCAAUCGGAAUCCGAGUACCCUACAAGCUUGAAGUUUGAUCCUCUUGGGUACCAUAAGCCAAAGUUUGGGGUAUGAGCCAAAUAUCGAAAGAUUCGUUUGGCCGCCACAUAGUGACUUUCCUUAGGUGCGGCUUGAAACCGUGCACAAAUUCCCACACUCAACAUGAUGUCCGGUCUAGAUGCACAAAGGUAAAUCAAGGAUCCAAUCAUGGAACGAUGUACCUUUUGAUCCACCACUUUACCAUUGGGAUCUAAGUCAAGUUGGCACUUGGUGGGCAUUGGAGUGGAAGCCGGCUUGACGUCACUUAGCUUGAAUCUCUUGAGCAUGUCUUGAGUGUAUUUGGAUUGAUUGAUGAAGGUUCCUUCUCUUCUUUGCUUCACUUCGAACCCUAGAAAGAACUUCAACUCUCCCAUGGAGGACAUCUCGAACUUUGAGGUCAUGAGAGCGGCAAAUUCCUCAUUGAAAGCUUUGUUAGGAGAACCAAAGAUAAUAUCAUCAACAUAUAAUUGGCACACAAACAACUCCCCUUUGACCUUCUUAGUAAAAAGAGUGGGGUCGAUUAUCCCAACUUCAAAGCCACGGUCUUGUAACAACUCCGUAAGGUGGUCAUACCACGCACGCGGGGCUUGUUUAAGGCCAUAGAGUGCCUUAUCGAGUUGAUACACAUGAUCGGGAAAGUAGGGAUCCUCGAACCCGGGGGGUUGCUUGACGUACACCAAUUCAUUAAUGGGACCAUUAAGAAAAGCACUCUUCACAUCCAUUUGAUGUAACUUAAAGUUAUGAUGAGAAGCAUAUGCAAUCAACAUGCGAAUGGAUUCAAGACAAGCAACGGGAGCAAAGGUUUCACCGUAGUCGAUACCCUCGACUUGGGAGUAGCCUUGUGCUACCAAACGAGCCUUGUUGCGAAUGAUAAUCCCAUGGGCAUCUUGCUUGUUCUUGAAUAUCCACUUGGUUCCAAUGACAUUGUGGUUCCCCGUUGGCCUUGGUACCAAUCUCCACACUUUGUUGCGCUCGAAGUUGUUGAGUUCUUCGUGCAUGGCAUUGAGACAAUCCGGAUCUUCUAGCACCUCAUAGACCUUGGCAGCACGACGCUCUAAUUCCUCCUCGGUGGUGAGUUGAGGAGCGGUUACUUGAUCAUCUUGAGCGCCGUCAUGAACUUGUUCUGGGGAGAGAACUUGACCUUGAGCAUCACUUGGUGUGUCCACACCGUCUUGAGUAUGAUCUAGCCCUUGGUCUUGUUCAUGAGGUUGAGGGCCUUCACUUUGUUCUUCGGAAGCAUGUGGGCCUUGGGUUGGUGAUGGCUCCACUUGAGUGGAGCAUUGUCCUUCUCCUUCGGACACAAGGGGUUCCUCAAUGGGUAGGAUGAAACCAACACCCAUUCUUCUUAUGGCUUGAGGAGGAAUUUCAUCACCUACAUCACAAGUGCCACUUUGCUCCACUUGGGAACCGUUAUUCUCAUCAAACUCCAUGUUACACGUCUCCUCAAUAAGUCCCGUGGAUUUAUUGAGGACACGGUAAGCAUGAGAGUUUGUAGCAUAACCAACAAAUAUGCCCUCAUAAGCUCUAGCCUCGAAUUUAGACAACCGAACACCUUUCUUGAGAAUGAAACACUUACACCCGAAUACCCGGAAGUACUUGAGGUUGGGCUUGUUACCGGUGAGUAUCUCAUAUGGAGUCUUGUUCAAGCCCUUGCGGAGGUAGAGCCGAUUGGAUGCAUGACACGCGGUGUUGAUGGCUUCGGCCCAAAAGUUGUACGGAGACUUGAACUCCGCCAUCAUGGUCCUUGCCACAUCCAUCAACGUCCGGUUCUUCCUCUCCGCAACACCGUUUUGUUGAGGGGUGUAUGGUGCGGAAUAUUGAUGCUUGAUUCCCUCAUCACUAAGAAAUUCAUCCAAGGUGUAGUUCUUGAACUCAGUGCCGUUGUCACUUCUCAUUGUCAAGAUCUUUGCAUUGUGUUGACGUUGUGCUUCAUUUGCAAAGUCAAUGACGGUUUGUUGGGUCUCGCUCUUCCUGUUGAAGAAAUACACCCACGUGUACCUUGAGUAGUCAUCCACAAUCACCAAACAAUACUUCCGACCUCCAAGACUAUCGAAGGAUGGAGGCCCAAAGAGAUCCAUGUGAAGGAGCUCCAAAGGCCUCUUUGAAUAAAUGAUAGUCGAGGGACGGUGAGCCUUCUCAUGUAGCUUUCCUUCGAUACAGGCACUGCAAGCACGAUCUUUAGCAAAACUAACAUUCGUUAGUCCACGGACAUGGUCCCCCUUUAGGAGACUUUGCAAAGAUCUCAUAUUGACAUGGGCUAAACGGCGAUGCCAAAGCCAUCCCACAUCAACUUUAGCCAUUAGGCAUGUCGCGGUCUUAGUGGGUCGCUCCGAAAAGUUAAUCACAUAUAGACCAUUCUCGACAUGCCCAACAAAGGCUACUUUAAGAGUAUUGCUCCACAAGAGGGCCACGGUAUCGAUAUCAAAGAAAGUGGCAAAGCCCAUGAUUGCAAGUUGACGAACAGAAAGUAAAUUGUAUGCAAGGGACUCAACAAGCAUGACCUUCUCGAUCGUGAGAUCAUGAGAGAUGACAACCUUGCCAAGUCCCAAUACCUUAGAAGAUGAGGCGUCACCCCACUCGACAUUGGUGGGCAUAGAUGGAACCUUGUGCACGUCCACCACCAAGUCCUUGCUUCCGGUCAUAUGAUUUGUAGCUCCACUAUCGAGCAACCAUGAUCCACCACCGGAAGCAAACACCUUGUUGGUGGCUUUAGCCAUGAGGCACUUGGCGGUGAUGCUUUCGUUGGGUGAGUCGAAGAGGGACACUCGUGACGUUGUUGCAAUGGCGACGGAGGCCAUGGCAACCGACUCAUCAUCUUCAUCAUCGUCAUCAUCCUCAUUGUACUCUUCUUGCAUAACCAAGGCCUUGGGAGGAGUCUUCUUGGUGAAGUUGUUCUUGUUGGGGAACGACUUGGCCUUGUCCUUUCGGAUGAGUUUGCCACCAUUGUCUUCCAUCUUCUCAUAUGGGCAUUCCGCAACGAAAUGACUUACGUUGCCGCAAUUGUAGCAAGUCCUUACACGUUGCUUGCCCCUUGUGCCACUCGAGUUGUUUUUGCUAAAGUUGGGCCUCGAGUUUUUCUUGCUUCAAAAUUGCCUUGAAGCAAGUGCCAUAUGUUCAUCAUAUGCAUACUUCGUAUCUUCGGGGCUGCUCUCCUCUUCUUCCUCUUCUUCUUCUUCCACGGUGAGCUUGGCCUUCAAUGCAAGGUUAGGCUUCUUUGCCCGUUGAGAACGGAGCACCGCAUUGUCGGCGGUCUUGUCCAAAAUGUUCAUGGCCACAAACUCAUCCAACACUUCGCUUGAGGUCAAAGUGUGGAAGUCCGGUCUUUGACGAAUGACAGAGGACAUGGCCUUGUGGUAGGGCAUCAUCGCCUUGAGGAAUUUGCGCUUGAUACAAUUGUCAUCCGUGUCCUUGCUCCCGUGAUCUCGUAGUGAGACCGCGAGUUUGGUGACUCUCCGAUAGAGCUCACGAGGUUCUUCAUCUUCCUUCAUUGCAAACUCAUCGGCCUCAUCUUGUACCACUUCAUAGUUGAACCGUUGAAUGCUUGCGCUUCCCCGGUAGAGAGACAUGACACAAUUCCAUGCAUCUUUGGCCAAGGCGAAGGGACGAAGAUGAGGUAGGUCUUCGGGUGGAAAUGCAUCUUGAAUGAUGAAGAGAGCAUUCUCAUUGAAUUGAUUGUCCGCGGCUUCUCGAGGAGUGAAGUUGCUUGGAUCAUGUGGAUAGAAACCUUCUUCAAUGAUUCUCCAAAGGUUAGUGUUCACAUGAUUUAAAUGACAUUUAAAGCGGUAAACCCAUGAAUCAAAAUCCUCAUUUUUCACAAUCUUAGGGGGAGGACCGGCAUGAUUCAAAUGAGUGGAAGGAACCGGUCCACCAUAAACAAGUGGUGGUUCCACAUGGGCAAAGAUGCCAGUGCCAUUCUUGCCACUAGAAGAAGGAGCCUUUUCACUACUAGCUUCCCCCUUUUCAGGGAUAGCAUCCGACACCUUGUUGGCAGGAUCCCCCACUUUCAACAGUGCGGUUGAUAGUUUAAGCCCCUCAAGAAAUUUAGUAAACAUGCUUUCAACUUCGGUCGUCAUGGAGGUUUUCAAUGUCUCCAAGGCUACAUUGAACUCCUCACGAGAGACCGAAGUUCCCCCAUCGCCCGUAGACGAGACAGGAUUCACACUGGAGUGUUCCUCCGCUUCUUCUACGGUAUCAACCAUACUCUUCGGACGGUAAAGUCCUUAAUAAAGAGACGAGACUCUGAUACCAAUUGAAAGGAUCGAUAUGGUUGACUAGAGGGGGGUGAAUAGGCAACUAACAAUUUUUAGCUUUUUUAGCAAAUUAAACUUUGCAUCAAAAUAGGUUGUCUAGACAUGCAACUAAAUGAGCAACCUAUAUGAUGCAACACGAAUAGGAACACAAGCAAGCAAGAUAUAUGAAACAAAUAAGCUAUACUAGUAAAGGCAUGAGAUAACCAAAAGUGGAGACGGUGGAGACGAGGAUGUGUUGCCAAAGUUCCUUCCCCUUGAGAGGAAGUAUGUCUCCGUUGGAGCGGCGUGGAGGCACAAUGCUCCCCAAGAAGCCACUAGGGCCACCGUAAUCUCCUCACGCCCUCACACAAUGCGAGAUGCCGUGAUUCCACUAUUGGUGCCCUUGGAGGCGGCGACCGAACCUUUACAAACGAGGUUGGGGCAAUCUCCACAACUCAAUUGGAGGCUCCCAACGACACCAUGAAGCUUCACCACAAUGGACUAUGGCUUCGCGGUGACCUCAACCGUCUAGGAUGCUCAAACACCCAAGAGUAACAAGAUCUGCAAGGGAUUAGUAGGGGGAAUCCAAUAUCUCUCAGUGGAAGUGUCGAUCGGGGCCUUCUCAACCACUCCCGAGCAAAUCAACAAGUUUGGUUGGCUAGGGAGUGAGAUCGGGCGAAAAUGGAGCUUGGAGCAAUAAUGGAGCUUUAAUGGUGGAAGAGGUGAGUCAACGGGGAAGAAGGAGACCCUUUAUAUAGUGUGUGGAAAAGAUCCA